rnacentral:rRNA from 1 species
UACGUAGGGUGCGAGCGUUAAUCGGAAUUACUGGGCGUAAAGCGUGCGCAGGCGGUCUGUUAAGACCGAUGUGAAAUCCCCGGGCUUAACCUGGGAACUGCAUUGGUGACUGGCAGGCUUUGAGUGUGGCAGAGGGAGGUAGAAUUCCACGUGUAGCAGUGAAAUGCGUAGAGAUGUGGAGGAAUACCUAUGGCGAAAGCAGGCUUCUGGGCCGUCACUGACGCUGAUCUGCGAAAGCUAGGGGAGCAAACAGG